rnacentral:rRNA from 1 species
GUGGGGAAUAUUGGACAAUGGGCGCAAGCCUGAUCCAGCCAUGCCGCGUGAGUGAUGAAGGCCUUAGGGUUGUAAAGCUCUUUCAGUGGGGACGAUAAUGACGGUACCCACAGAAGAAGCCCCGGCUAACUUCGUGCCAGCAGCCGCGGUAAUACGAAGGGGGCUAGCGUUGUUCGGAUUUACUGGGCGUAAAGCGCACGUAGGCGGAUCGUUAAGUCGGGGGUGAAAUCCUGGAGCGCAACUCGAGAACUGCCUUCGAUACUGGCGAUCUUGAGUCCGGAAGAGGUGAGUGGAACUCCUAGUGUAGAGGUGGAAUUCGUAGAUAUUAGGAAGAACACCAGUGGCGAAGGCGGCUCACUGGUCCGGUACUGACGCUGAGGUGCGAAAGCGUGGGGAGCAAACAGGAUUAGAAACCCGAGUAGUCC